AGGGAUCUCUCAAGAAUGAUUGA
rnacentral:siRNA from 1 species